rnacentral:rRNA from 1 species
UACGUAGGGUGCGAGCGUUAAUCGGAAUUACUGGGCGUAAAGCGUGCGCAGGCGGUUUUGUAAGCCAGAUGUGAAAGCCCCGGGCUUAACCUGGGAAUGGCAUUUGGGACUGCAAGGCUAGAGUGCGGCAGAGGAGACUGGAAUUCCUGGUGUAGCAGUGAAAUGCGUAGAUAUCAGGAGGAAUACCGAUGGCGAAGGCAGGUCUCUGGGCUGACACUGACGCUCAUGCACGAAAGCUAGGGGAGCGAAUGGG